rnacentral:lncRNA from 1 species
UUCAAACAAUGUCCACUCCUCCUCCUACAUGGAUACACGGAACUACACCUUCCGGCCACCUGGAAAGGGCCCCCACCCGGGUGCCUGUGACGGCUGCUACAGUGUGGGGAGACAGCGACUCGACGACCAGGGGGACCUCAGGUCAGGCUGCACAUGCUCUUCCUCUGGCUCGUGAGAGAUAAAAAUGACCAAAUCUAGGUGAUAUAUGGAACGUCCAUUGUUUCCUUUUUAGUGCCGCCAGACCCCCCAGUGGUUGAGUUAAAGGAGGUCAAAGACAACAUGUUUUCUCUGGCCUGGACUCCCGGGUUUGAAGGUGACAGCCCCAUCGUGGGUUUCAUCCUGGAGUAUAAAGCUCUUAAUGCCUCCUGGGAUUCCACCAAGACCGUUGUGGAGUUUGGCCCUAAUCAGACCGAUGCCACCAUCUUAGAGAUGAACCCCUCCACCUAUAAUGUCCGCAUAUUUGCCAGGAACAGCCUGGGAACCAGUAAUGCCAGCAAUGUUCUGACCAUCACUACCACAAAAACAGAUCUACACAUGGACAUUUUUGAAACCACAGCCUCGACUGACUCUCGUGCUGCCGCAAGUGUGGAGGAAAGUCAUAAAGGUCACGUAGCAGUUGUGGUGGUGCCAGUGGUGCUGGUGGUGUUAAUUGCUGCCAUAUUGGCCACGUGGCAACUUCGACGAAUGAAACAGAAUCGCGGCAGCUUGACCAUGUGGUUGAGAGGAGGGGCCAUACGGUACAGGGGCUCUGAACCGCUGCAGGAGCUGUGAGCCCGGGCGCUCCCUCCAAAACAAGGCCACAGUUCCAGAGCAGAACUUAAGUUUAUCACAUGACAGAGAGAAACAACCGGUGUGCUUAGUUGAUUCAAACUAACUAAAGUUAAGCGUUUCUUCAACAUCCACGGCUCUCCAAUCAUAUUAACAUUUAGUUAACUCAGUUCAACAUCAUUUUAGUUACUGUGAUUUUGUCUGUAAUGGUUAAAUGUCGUUGCUCUUCUCCUCUAUGGCACCGCAUCCAACAGAGUUAGACAAAAGUGGUGUUAAAUCGAUGUCACAAGUGACUGGGUAAAGCUUACCUAAAUCACUUUAAAUCACCUGUUUACAUAAGCUCACCUAUACAUGAUAUAGCUAAACAUUAUGGUGCUGGAUCUAAAAUCUAAGAAAGAUUCACCAAACACUUGAAAUUUAUUUACUGUCUACUUUUUACAGGUGGUCCCAUGUUGAACAAAAAGGCUACGUUACGUGUAAUAGUUUAAUAUUUAGAUUUCACAUUCACAAAUCUAUUUUUUCAAAUGCAGUUUUUACUGCAAAUCGAUUUCAGGUGCGUGGCACUGACCAGGCAUGGCCACUAGAGGGAACCAGAGUCCCGCUGGUGUGUCCGCUGAAGCGUCUCCCUCCUCUGGGGCAGACUCAGGAGCCAGCUGGAUUUCCAUCCAUCUGUUCUGUAAAUCUCUUAAUUGUUCUAAUUAGGAAGAGGAGGAAGAGGAGGAGAUCUGAUACCUCCAUGGAGCUUUGAGACAGCUGCCCGAGGAGAGAUUCUUAUCCUGGCGGGGUCCACAGGACCUGUACUCAUGUUAGCAGUGGACCACAACAAGGGGCUUCCACUUCCUUUUCUCUGUGUUUAUAAGAGACUGAUGACAGAAGUGUUGUUUUUUGUUGCUUUGUCAGUCACAUGCUUCCUGAAAACUGGACAAAUUGUUUAAAAAAGCUGUAAAUGUCACCUAGGUUUUUGGUUUACUGUGGCAAACCAUGAUAAACGUGCAGAUGCUGAUGAACAAAACCACAGCGUCCUGGGUCUCUGUGGCCUGUAAACACAACCCUGCCACAUCCCUCCUGUGUGGACUCCCUCUCAUCUCUGGACACCACACUUCCGCUGCUGAUUUCCUCCUUGCCUUCUUUCCUUUAGCCUCCUGAUUUUACAUACACAAACACUGAGGCCUUCCACUUCUGGUUCUUUCCUAUAACUCUGCACGUCUCCAUCCUAUCCCGCUUUUAUCCAUCUUCCUCUGUGUUCCUGCUGUUUGACGGAGGCUUGAAGGCUGUGCUGAGCUCCGUCUGGAUCACUUUGAUGAUCUGGCACCAACAAAACCAGUUAGCCCCUGCACUCUACACUAAAUUAUCUGAAUAACUGAUUAUUUUUCUAUAAUACAUGAAGUAACAUGAUCUACGGCUACUUGUAAGACAGUGAUUAUCUGUUAGGCUGUACCAUGAUGUGGCUAAUCUCCAUAAUCAAUUGACAAUACAAUUAAAUCCAAAUCAAUGAAUCUUGUAAAUUGUGUGUCAUUUUCUGCCCUAAAGUAGGAAUAAUUAAGUCUGUGAACCUUUAUGGUCUAUCCAUGCAUUUAAUUAAGUGCAGAACCCCCCCCCCCCCCCACACACACACACACACACACACACGCGCACACACACAUUUACACUUAUUGGCUCUCUGUGGUUCCAACCUGCCACAUGAGGGAACAAACCAAUAGCCAAUACAUCAAGAUGAGACCAAACAUCCAUUAGGUCCACAGCGGCCUGCUCCUUAUGUAAGCCACGCAGCGCUGUGUCAGCUGAAUCUGUGCACACUCCUGUGCGAAGCAGCAGGGGGGAGAUUGAGGAAGUCGGAGGAGUGGGGGUGCAUGGUCAUAAUAACUGCUGCAUUUGAGGAGACAGCUAACGUCGUAAUAAAUCAUGCACCGUGGUUCUGGCCACAUCAAGGCACCAGCUCUCAGGAAAUUGUGA